rnacentral:rRNA from 1 species
UACGUAGGGUGCAAGCGUUGCCCGGAUUUAUUGGGCGUAAAGGGCGCGUAGGCGGUCACGCACGUCCGUUGUGAAAUCGCUCGGCUCAACUGGGCGGGGUCAGCGGAUACGGUGUGGCUGGAGCAAGCUAGGGGCAAUGGAAUUCCCGGUGUAGUGGUGGAAUGCGUAGAUAUCGGGAGGAACACCAGUGGCGAAGGCGGUUGCCUGGAGCUUUGCUGACGCUGAUGCGC